UUUGAAGAAGGAAAAGAGCACUAAGGUCCAGCACGACCUGGCAAAAUUGGCCAUUUUCAAUUCUUUGUUCUAUUCCCGUUACUCGUCAACGAGAAAAGAGGGGCAGCUGUAAUAGCCCAUUUUCUCAGGCCCCGUUAAAACCCAAAUAAUAAAUAAAAAUAAUAAAAUAUAGUCCAAAUUACAAAAAAAAUAAUAAGUCCAUCAAAACCCAAACAACCCUAGCCCAAAUACGAUGGGGCCCAAAACAAAUUUUUAGAAGCAGAAGCCCUAGUAGCUUUAAUUCUUCGGCGCCGAAGCAAUCGCUCCAUCACCCCCACGUCGCAGUAACCUCACCCACAUUUAGC
rnacentral:lncRNA from 1 species